GUUUGAGUGGAUUUACAGUGCUCUCCAAGAACUGUGGGUUAUUUUCUAAUAAUCCAUGUUAAUAAGGAGUGUGAAGGAUGCUGCUUGUUGAGCUGCCUGCUGCGAGUGUUUCCACAAGCCUUGAGUCUCUCCUGGGAUGGAAACCUGCAAGUUUUGAGUCUCAAUUUCCUGGUAUCAGCUGUGCUUGCUCACGAAGCUGGGCUUGAGUUUGGAUGGUGUUGGGUUGGAAUUUUGCAGGGCAGCCUCCAGAUUUAUACUGCUGCAUGCUGAGAUUAGCAGCUGGAUUUUUCAUUAUUUGCUUGGUGUGCCGAAGGAAACUGGCU